rnacentral:sRNA from 12 species
CACCACUUGGUGAAAAUAUUUUGCGUCGUGGUACGGCUUAGUAGGCCGCAAGGCUCGAAACGCCGUAAAGCAAAAAAGGAG